GGAUUAGAUACCCUGGUAGUCCACGCCCUAAACGAUGAGUGCUAGAUAUCGGGGCUUUUGUCCUCGGUGUCGUAGUUAACGCGUUAAGCACUCCGCCUGGGAAGUACGAUCGCAAGAUUAAAACUCAAACGGAAUUGACGGGGACCCGCACAAGCGGUGGAACAUGUGGUUUAAUUCGAUGCUACGCGAAAAACCUUACCAGGCCUUGACAUGAUGGUUAUUUUGCAGAGAGAUCUGCGAGUCGGUUCGGCCGGACCAUUACAGGUGUUGCAUGGCUGUCGUCAGCUCGUGCCG
rnacentral:rRNA from 1 species